rnacentral:rRNA from 1 species
UUUAUGGAGAGUUUGAUCCUGGCUCAGGAUGAACGCUGGCGGCGUGCCUAAUACAUGCAAGUCGAGCGAACGGACGAGAAGCUUGCUUCUCUGAUGUUAGCGGCGGACGGGUGAGUAACACGUGGAUAACCUACCUAUAAGACUGGGAUAACUUCGGGAAACCGGAGCUAAUACCGGAUAAUAUUUUAAACCGCAUGGUU